UGCUAACUCUCAGCCCCACGCCCACUCCCCAUUCUUCCACAUUCCUCCUCCCUCAAGCACCCUCCUGCGUCCCUGUAAUCCCAAACUCCGUUCCUCCUUUAUUUUUGUGCCUUUCUCAGAGUUCUGGCCCCUGCCUCCCGCCCUCAACUCCUUCCCAUCCCUUCUCCCUCAAGCCCUUCUCCAGCCCAGCCAGUCCUUUUCUGGAACCCCUCUCCACUGGCCCAACCCACGCCAGCCCCCCUCUUCCUGAACCCCCAACUCUAGCAGGAUCACAGUACCGCUUUCACCCUUAGAAAGCCUGUGUGUUUCCAUGCUUGGACGUUCGAGUUCCUCCAACAGCCUGGGUUGGCACAGAGCGGCCCAGGACCUGGUGUUUGCCUGGUCACAGUCACCCUCGACUGUUUCACUUCUCUUCCCCUGCCCAGCUCUCCUCGGUGCACCUUGGUUCCUCGCACACAGAUGGAGAGUUUGCCUGGCUAGGAAUGUCCCUUAGAAAUCGGCUAAGAUUUAAGGGAGGACGUGGAGGAGGCGGGCGCUGGGAGAUACCUGCUAGAGAACCCUUGAAAUGCGUUCAAAAUCUUCCUCCAGCGGCUGAAGUACACGGAGGGAGGCGGAGGAGUUACCUGGCGCUGGGUAAAGCCCAGCCGGUCCUGCUUCCUUAAAGGGAAGAUGACUCUCCUAGGAGCUUCUCCCUGCACAGGUGCGAGAUUCCACUGAGGCGAAGCAAAGCCUCAAGCACCCUGCCUGAGAGCUGAGGACCAAUGCUCUUGGGAAUGGGGUGGAAGAGUACGUUCUGGGGCGUGGAAGGCUCACCAGACCGUGAAAACAGCUCCCUGUGAGUCUCAGGCUUCUGCUAGCCGCCCCACCUCUCCGCACCCCCUCCCAGGGAAAUUUAAGUUACUUCCAAUUUAUUAUGGGCUAGUUGCAUGAAAGUUACAGGGGAAGUAACUAGACGACCUGUCCCCAGAGGCUGAGAAAGAGAAAUGUAUGGGUUCUGUGUAAAUAUCUAAACUAAGGUCAGGGAGUAGCAAGAGUCUCUACCCCCCACCUCCCUGUCCUACCCCUUCAACAUGUGGGCAGCGUGAGGAUCUUCUGGUGUCCAGGGUUCUUCUUUCUCAGACUUUCAUGAUAUAUUAACUGGGAGAGGCUACUUCCCAAUGGUGAUAAAGUUAAACAAAACCAAAUACUUAAAAAUAAAACAGCAUGAAAGCCAGA
rnacentral:sRNA from 1 species